CCUACGGGAGGCAGCAGUGGGGAAUAUUGCGCAAUGGGCGAAAGCCUGACGCAGCGACGCCGCGUGAGGGAUGAAGGUCUUCGGAUCGUAAACCUCUGUCAGCAGGGAAGAACGGUCACUGUGCUAAGCAGCAGUGAAUUGACGGUACCUGCAAAGGAAGCACCGGCUAACUCCGUGCCAGCAGCCGCGGUAAUACGGAGGGUGCGAGCGUUAAUCGGCAUUACUGGGCGUAAAGCGCUCGUAGGCGGUAUGUCAAGUCAAGGGUGAAAUCCCCGCGCUCAACGUGGGAACUGCCUUUGAAACUUUCACACUGUCGUGUGUGAGUGGAUAGUGGACUUCCAGGUGUAGGCGU
rnacentral:rRNA from 1 species